rnacentral:lncRNA from 1 species
GUGGCAUAAAGCUGAAGGGGAGAAGCCAGAGGAAUCAGACCCACAACUGGCCUCCAGGAUGUGAGCAGAGAAACAGGACACACUGCUUAGGCCCUGCCAGGCCUGUCUGGACAGGAGAGACUGCCCUGGACACAAGAGCCUGAGCCCAGGACCCUGGAGCCAUGGGGAGCGGCGCGACGCUGAGGGGUGCAGCGGG